ACCACUCUCGUAGCUAAAAAGAAAAGCGCUGGCCUUGUAAGACAGAAGUGGACGACAAACACCCUCCCGAGAGUA